ensembl:lncRNA
GGAUCAGCUUCCUUUGCAUGAAUACUUUAGGUAUUAUAAAGUUAAACUGACCCCAGAUCAUCUCAAAUGGACGGCAUUAUCCUACAAGGGAAGACAAGAGGUAAAGUGAAAAGAUAUGGCAGCCCAAAAUGAGUGAUCACAUUAAAUUACAAUCGAAAUGGCUGGUGUAUUGCUGCAAGGGUGGUCGUCUCCUAGAUGUAAAGCUGUUGUGAAGCGCGAAAGAAUGAGCAAGGCAUUAUCGGCAAUCAGAUGGUGAAACCCCAACAGAAGACAUGGAGGUAUCUGCAUCAAAGCUGUUCCUUCCCCUUUUCCUGGCAGCUAUCGGAUAUCACUACUGUACCCCCAUUGGCUGUCUCUGUGGAUUACAACACCAUAGGAUUAUUCUAAUGACCCAUUAAAAGGACAUCAGAGCAAUUCCCAGGGUUAAUAGGUGACCCUUUACCAAUGG